AAAAAGGGCUUCUGUCAUGAGUGGCACAUAUAGGGCAAUUCAGUUGUUCUAUGUGCAGAAUUGACAUCAAGAGAUUUCAGAAACAUAAUUCAUUGGUACAUGGGCAGAUGGUGAUCAUUGGUUCUGGUGCCCUA
ensembl:snRNA